rnacentral:rRNA from 1 species
GUGAAAUUGUUGAAAGGGAAACGAUUAAAGUCAGUCGUACCUACGAGUAAUCAACCUACUCGAGUGCGAUUUUGUGGGUAUGUUAGAGUUUAAACCUUCAUGCUUACAAAUUGGUGCUCUUUGGGCGUACUUUCUCGUAUGGUAGGUUAACAUCAAUUUUGGUGGUCAUAAAAUGACUGGAGGAAUGUAGCUUCGAUCUUGUAUUGAAGUGUUAUAGCCUUCGGUAGAUGUGAUGAUCGAGAUUGAGGAUUGCAACGGAUACCCUUCGGGGCUACCUGUCUGAUCUCUGAUCGUUGCUCUGGUGCCGAAAGCUUGCUUACGGUUAUCAAAGUCGAUGGUCAAUAGGUUAGAACGGGUUAAAUUCGUUAAGGAUGUUGACGUAAUGGCUUUAAACGAC